rnacentral:hammerhead_ribozyme from 1 species
GGACUACUGAGGAGUCCCAUACUAGGACGAAACGGCAGUCCAGUGC